rnacentral:rRNA from 1 species
CCGAGGUGGUCGAAGGGGCGCGGGGAAACGGUAGGGGGUGAGGGUUGUCCGGAUUGAUUGGGGUGAAGUAGCGCGUAGGUGGCUCUGUAGGUCGGGGGUGAAAUUUCGAGGGUCAACCUCGGGACGCCACCUGAUACUGCUGUGGCUUGAGUCCGGUAGGGGAGCGUGGUAUUCGUGGUGUAGCGGUGAAAUGCGGAGAUAUCAGGAGGAACACCAGCGGCGAAGUCGGCGCUCUGGGCCGGUACUGACACUGAGGAGCGAAAGCGUGGGGAUCAAACAGGAUUAGAUACCCUGGUAGUC